rnacentral:lncRNA from 1 species
GUUCAUCACUUUUUAUAUAAAUAGAGCAGUAAAUGAUGGCGUAAAAAUUGAACAAAUUUGAAAUUAUAAUAAAAAGAGGAGAAAGAUUGAGAUAGAGCUUUUAGUAUUUUCUUUUCAACACACUCUUCAUCUUUGCAAAACUAUCUUUCACAUAUCCUCCCAAAUAUAGUAUAGAAUCAAUAGCAGAAUAUGUUUGACCUCUAAAAUAUAGAGAUGUCUCAUAACAU